UGCUUUUAGAGCUGCACAAAAGCUUCUGAAACCAAAACCAAACAAAUUUUCUUUGGUGUUGGCUGUGAAAAAUGUUUUUGCAUUUGAGUUUUUUUUCUUCAACAAAGGAACUUGAUGGUCUUUUGUAAUAGCUUGGCCUGACAAAGUUUGGGUAUUUUUUUCCUCUGUAGUUUUUCUUUUAGCUCAGUCCUUGAGAGGUCCUGCAGAUGCCACUGACAUUCUCCUGGAAGAACCCUCCAUCCUCUUCCUGGUCAGGAAAGGGACACAACUGGGCCCUGGAAGAAUGACUGGAUGGAGGGUGAAGGUGCUGAGAGUGGAGUUGUUCUGUGUUUGAGAGAAAAUGUGGAUGAACAUCCCUUACCCCUUGAUGAUGGAGCACUGUGGUGUCCCUGCCUGCCCUUCACACCAAAUGGGAGAUGAAACAUCCUCCUGCUCACAGCACAGGGAAGAGGCUGGAGCUGGGCUGCUGUCUCCACACCUGUAGAACUGUGGAGAAAUGGGAAUUCUUUGUGUUUCAUUGGCUUCUCUGAGGAAAACAGGGACCAUGAGAUGAGCCAGAGCCUCGGGGGGAAAGGACACUUGGAGCACCUGUACCGAAAGGGAGAAGGUGAAGAAGCCUGUGAGCAUUCCCUGCCUCCUCUGAUCUUAUGCAGAUUCUAAACACAAGUCUGAACGCAAGCUCGAUGGCAACUCUCUGCUCCGGCUGCCAGGGCUGCAGCUCCAGCCGCUCCUCUCCGUCCUCCACCUUCUUUUUCCAAAGUAACAAAGCCAUUGGAUUUCCUCCCACCCCUUCCCUGCGCCUCCCCUCCCCCUCGCUGGCACCGGGGUUAUUUAUACAGAAUGUGGAAACAAUUUGCAGGAAAGUGAACAAUGUAAGCGGGAGCGAGGGAAGGGAGGCGAGUUUGCAGAGCACGCUGAGAGCCCCAGCGGUGGAACGCUGCUUUUGGGGGAGCACGGGGAGCAGGAUGUUUUCCUUUCUUCCUUCUCCCCUCUCCCACCAUCUCCCUGAGCUCCUUCCAUCCUGCUGGAGUCGAGGCCAAACCAGAGCAACGAGAUCUGAGUGA
rnacentral:lncRNA from 1 species